rnacentral:rRNA from 1 species
GAUGAACGCUGGCGGCGUGCUUAACACAUGCAAGUCGAACGGUGAACACGGAGCUUGCUCUGUGGGAUCAGUGGCGAACGGGUGAGUAACACGUGAGCAACCUGCCCCUGACUCUGGGAUAAGCGCUGGAAACGGCGUCUAAUACUGGAUAUGUGACGUGAUCGCAUGGUCUGCGUCUGGAAAGAAUUUCGGUUGGGGAUGGGCUCGCGGCCUAUCAGCUUGUUGGUGAGGUAAUGGCUCACCAAGGCGUCGACGGGUAGCCGGCCUGAGAGGGUGACCGGCCACACUGGGACUGAGACACGGCCCAGACUCCUACGGGAGGCAGCAGUGGGGAAUAUUGCACAAUGGGCGCAAGCCUGAUGCAGCAACGCCGCGUGAGGGAUGACGGCCUUCGGGUUGUAAACCUCUUUUAGCAGGGAAGAAGCGAAAGUGACGGUACCUGCAGAAAAAGCGCCGGCUAACUACGUG